UGAAUGAAGAGUUUGAUCCUGGCUCAGGAUGAACGCUGACAGAAUGCUUAACACAUGCAAGUCGAUGAGGAAGUUCUUUUAGGAGAGUGGUAAUCAUGGCGGACGGGUGAGUAACG
rnacentral:rRNA from 1 species